ACACAUGGUGCAAGGUGUGGUUAGGGUGGAGUGUGUUAAAGGAAAGGAGAUCACGCUGUGUCUGUGUGUACGUAAUAAACUACAUAAGAGAGAGAAGAAACUAGGAAAAACAGGAAGCAAGUCAUGAACACAGCAGGAGAACCACAGGACAUGGAUGGAGAGAUAGACGUAGACAAAACAUCUGACUCCGAAUCUGAUUCAAAAUCAGAAUCUGACUCCGAAUCUGAUUCAAAAUCAGAAUCUGACUCCGAAUCUGAUUCAAAAUCAGAAUCUGACUCCGAAUCUGAUUCAAAAUCAGAAUCUGACUCUGAAUCUGAGAGCAGCACAGGAUCUGGCAGUGAGAGUGAGAACAACAGCCCAAAGGACGGAAAACAAGGGGAAAAAAGGAAACGUAACUGUAAACAGAUAAAGCCAUCUUCCAUCUGUACAAACAAGAAGAGAAAAGCCGAAGACUCCACCCUGUAUUCCAGAGAAACAUUUGGAAACAAAUCUGAAGUUCCUGUCACAUGUGGAGAUAAAGACGGCGUCCUGCAUGUGGAGAAAUAUAAUGGCAUGGAGAAGUGCAUCUUCAGCGAAGGCCAGUGGUUCAAGCCCAACGAAUUUGAGAGGUUCGGAGGAAAGGAGAGAUGCAAAAAAUGGAAGACCAGCAUCGUCAGUGAUAAUAUUCCUCUCCAGAAACUCAUAGAGGCUGGACUUCUGUCAUCCUUUAAACCAAGCCGGGUUAAGAAUAAACGGAUUGAUACUCCUGAAUCCUCACCUGUUGCUGUAAGACUCAGAAAAAGAAAGUGUCAGAGUACGCUCUUGCCCUCCUGCUCUGAAUCAAAUGGCAGGAACGAUAAUAACAAUGGAGGAGUUGUUGAAGAGAAUGAUGAAGAUAUCAUUGACAUGAGCGUGUUUGAAGGUCCAACCCUACCUGUUACCUGUGGUUCUGGCUCUGGCGUCCUACACAAAUACCGCUUUGCCACAGGGCACUGUGGGAGAUGCAUAAGAACAGAAGACUUCUGGCAGACACCGGAGGAUUUCAUCAGAGACAACAAACCAGAAGGAGCAUGGAGAAAAGACAUUUUAUCCAGUGGGGUACAUCUGGGAAAACUUAUAAAGAAAAAUGUUUUGGAAAUGCAUACGCUAAAUUGUGAUUGUGAGAACUGUAAAGACUUGGAUCAAUACCUAAAUGAUGACGUGUGUUUCAUCUGUGACUCUGAGGGAGAUCUCGUGUGUUGUGACGAUUGUCCACGAGCUUUUCAUUCACACUGUCACCUACCAGCUGUACCUGAAGACUCACCUGGGAGCCAGUGGAGCUGCACGUUUUGUGUGAUGAUGAAGAGGGAAAGUUCGGGUCAAAAGACCCAACAGGAUGUUUUGAGCAGUCCAAUCUCUCAGUACACACUGACAAUAGCACUGCCAGUACCUGCUGUUACACCUGCUACACGAGAGCAUGAGCGACCCCUGUGCCAAAGGUCCAGGAUUCAGUGAGAACAUCUGUGGUCCCAUGAUGCUGGGCAGAGUGAAGCUGAACUUGCAGAAUAAUGAUUAUCAAACAGUGCGAGAGUUUGUCUCUGAUAUUGAAUACGUUUUCCACCACUGCACCGCCAAAAGGGAUAAUGACUUCAGUAGAAUGACCUCUAGGCUCACAGAACUGCUUGAAAUCAUCUUUAAGCUGCUGUAACAUCAGACCACUAGUAAACGUGUAACUGUGAAUAAUAUCCAGUCUUUUUCAAUCAAUAUCCCACAUACAGUAAUGUGUACAUUUGUACUUUUAAAAAGGAUUAAUGGCAAACAUGAGAAGUGCAGCCUUCUGUAUUUCAAUACAGUAACUGUGAUGCAAACUGUUGUCAGUUUACAGCAGGUAAUACUAACAGACUGCAGCGUUAUAUUGACAAUAUGACUAAGCAUUUUCCUGUUGUUUGUGAACAAUGACUCAAGGACAUCAGGCAAGCCAGAGGUUUUUCCCCCCGCUGCCUGGCCAAGGCCAGGAUAUCCUGUCAUUUAGAAGAGGUUCUUUGGCCUGCUCCAGACCAAAAACAGGAUACUGGGGGGCAGAAUAAUUAUUUUUGAUGUUGUUUGCUGUAUUGAAUUGUACUGUACUCUACAGUACGUUAAAUUAAGAAAUACAACAGCUGGGGAGUACCACACUUA